GACGAACGCUGGCGGCGUGCAUAACACAUGCAAGUCGAACGGAAAGGCCCUGCUUUUGUGGGGUGCUCGAGUGGCAAACGGGUGAGUAACACGUGAGUAACCUGCCCUUGACUUUGGGAUAACUUCAGGAAACUGGGGCUAAUACCGGAUAGGAGCUCCUGCUGCAUGGUGGGGGUUGGAAAGUUUCGGCGGUUGGGGAUGGACUCGCGGCUUAUCAGCUUGUUGGUGGGGUAGUGGCUUACCAAGGCUUUGACGGGUAGCCGGCCUGAGAGGGUGACCGGCCACAUUGGGACUGAGAUACGGCCCAGACUCCUACGGGAGGCAGCAGUGGGGAAUAUUGCACAAUGGGCGGAAGCCUGAUGCAGCAACGCCGCGUGCGGGAUGACGGCCUUCGGGUUGUAAACCGCUUUCGCCUGUGACGAAGCGUGAGUGACGGUAAUGGGUAAAGAAGCACCGGCUAACUACGUG
rnacentral:rRNA from 1 species